rnacentral:tRNA from 1 species
GGCCCCGUCGUCUAGUGGUCAGGACACAGCGUUCUCAACGCUGGAACACGGGUUCGAUUCCCGUCGGGGCUA